AAGGCUAAACAAUGUCAGCAUGCCAGAGAAAAGUGAAUCUGCAAACGACACAUAUAACCAAAUUCAGAAUACUAUUAAUAACAUGCUCAACACAGUCUUCAGUGAUUUUGGACAAAGUCUUUUGACUUUCCAAAGUGCAAACUUCAUGAUGAAUUCAGAUUAUAUUGAAGGGCACAUGGAGUAUCUCAUCCAUGAAAAUGAAAGUGCAGGUAUGAUCAGUACCACUACGGUGACCCUGUUUCCAGCUUUAAUCAAACCUCAAGUCAACAUAGUGGGGUCAGCUCUCAUCUACGCUUAUCUGGUCUUCAACUCUUCCACACCCAUCACCAGUGAGACCGCAGCAGUUAAUACUACACGCACACUUCUGUUGUCUUUGUCUGCAAACUUCUAUGAAACAAUUCAGGUGGAGAAUGUGACAUAUGAACAAAGUUCAGAGACCUCAUAUGCAGUUAUUAUCAGCUUAAGGCUAAGCAAUGUCAGCAUGCCAGAGUUAAGUGAAUCUGCAAAUGACACAUAUAACCAAAUUCAGAAUACUAUUAACAACAUGCUCAACACAGUCUUCAGUGAACAUGGACAAACUCUUUUGAUCUUUCAAUAUGCAAACUUUAUGACAAAUUCAGAUCAAAUUGAAGGGCUCAUGGAAUAUACAAUCCAGGAAAGUGAAACUACCACACUAUUUACAACUACAGCCACAUCAAUGUCUACAACAGAGGGUUUUGAUACAGCAAGCGCAACUGAAGCUGAGCCUGCUAGCACAAAAAUUACACUGUAUGUAUUAUAA
rnacentral:lncRNA from 1 species